CCUACGGGAGGCAGCAGUGAGGAAUAUUGGUCAAUGGGCGCGAGCCUGAACCAGCCAAGUAGCGUGAAGGAUGACUGCCCUACGGGUUGUAAACUUCUUUUAUAAAGGAAUAAAGUGAGGCACGUGUGCCUUAUUGUCUGUACUUUAUGAAUAAGGAUCGACUAACUCCGUGCCAGCAGCCGCGGUAAUACGGAGGAUCCGAGCGUUAUCCGGAUUUAUUGGUUUUAAAGGGAGCGUAGAUGGGUUGUUAAGUCAGUUGUGAAAGUUUGCGGCUCAACCGUAAAAGUGCAAUUGAUACUGGCAGUCUUGAGUACAGUUGAGGUAGGCGGAAUUCGUGGUGUAGCGGUGAAAUGCUUAGAUAUCACGAAGAACUCCGAUUGCGAAGGCAGCUUACUAAACUGCCACUGACAUUGAUGCUCGAAAGUGUGGGUAUCAAACAGGAUUAGAUACCCUGGUAGUC
rnacentral:rRNA from 1 species